rnacentral:lncRNA from 1 species
GUCACAUACCAGUCAAGAAAGAGAUGGAGAAUGUUUAGCUCUGAACAUGUAUGAUACUGCAGAUAAAAGAGCGUAACUCUGGAAAUCAAAGUUCUUGGGAAUUCCUUGGGAGACUGCACGCAGUGUUGGGUACAGUUUAAGAGGUAAUUGCUUUAUAACUGCUAUAACUGCUUUACACAAUAUAAUGUAAAACUGGAUAUGAUUCUCUAAGGGGACGCCAG